rnacentral:rRNA from 1 species
AACGAACGCUGGCGGCGUGCCUAACACAUGCAAGUCGAACGGAAUUAGAGAGCUUGCUCUUUAAUUUAGUGGCGCACGGGUGAGUAACGCGUAGAUAAUCUGCCCGACGAUCUGGGAUAACACUUCGAAAGGGGUGCUAAUACCGGAUAAGCCCACGUGGUCUUUGGACCGUGCGGGAAAAGGGGGGGACCUUCGGGCCUUCUGUCGUCGGAUGAGUCUGCGUACCAUUAGCUAGUUGGUAGGGUAAUGGCCUACCAAGGCUACGAUGGUUAGCUGGUCUGAGAGGAUGACCAGCCACACUGGAACUGAGACACGGUCCAGACUCCUACGGGAGGCAGCAGUGGGGAAUUUUGCGCAAUGGGCGAAAGCCUGACGCAGCAACGCCGCGUGAGUGAUGAAGGCUUUCGGGUCGUAAAGCUCUGUCAGGGGGAAAGAAGUGUAUUGUGGCUAAUAUCCACGAUACUUGACGGUACCCCCAAAGGAAGCACCGGCUAACUCCGUGCCAGCAGCCGCGGUAAUAC